rnacentral:rRNA from 1 species
AUUGAACGCUGGCGGCAGGCCUAACACAUGCAAGUCGAACGAGUGGCGGACGGGUGAGUAAUGUCUGGGAAACUGCCUGAUGGAGGGGGAUAACUACUGGAAACGGUAGCUAAUACCGCAUACCAUCGGAUGUGCCCAGAUGGGAUUAACUAGUAGGUGGGGUAAAGGCUCACCUAGGCGACGAUCCCUAGCUGGUCUGAGAGGAUGACCAGACAAACUGGAACUGAGACACGGUCCAGACUCCUACGGGAGGCAGCAGUGGGGAAUAUGGGACAAAGGGCUCAAGGCUGAUGCAGCCAUACCGCGUGUAAGAAGAAGGCCUUCGGGUUGUAAAGUACUUACAGCGGGGAGGCGUUACCCGCAGAAGAAGCACCGGCUAACUCCGUGCCAGCAGCCGCGGUAAUAC